rnacentral:misc_RNA from 1 species
AAACAUGGCAGGAUCUUCCAUCAAACCCACUCCACUCUUGAAAGACGAGCUUGAUAUAGUGAUACCCACAAUUAGAAACCUUGAUUUCUUGGAGAUGUGGAGGCCAUUCUUUGAACAAUAUCACUUGAUCAUUGUCCAAGAUGGUGACCCAUCAAAGAACAUCAAGGUCCCUGAUGGUUUUGACUACGAGCUCUACAAUAGGAACGAUAUUAAUAGGAUUCUGGGUCCUAAGGCCUCUUGCAUUUCCUUCAAGGACUCUGCUUGUCGCUGCUU